UACCAGCACCCCGAGUGGUCGGGACGAUUAUUGGGCCUAAAGCAUCCGUAGCCGGUUCUACAAGUCUUCCGUUAAAUCCACCUGCUUAACAGAUGGGCUGCGGAGGAUACUAUGGAGCUAGGAGGCGGGAGAGGCAAGCGGUACUUAGUGGGUAGGGGUAAAAUCCUUUGAUCCAUUGAAGACCACCAGUGGCGAAGGCGGCUUGCCAGAACGCACUCGACGGUGAUGGAUGAAAGCUGGGGGAGCAAACCGG
rnacentral:rRNA from 1 species